AAUACACUGGGGAAUUGCUCUUGCAAGCUAUAUUUGACACAUGGAUUGCUUUCAUCUUGUUAUUUUGUUUCUGUACAAAUAAUAUUUAUCCCUCAGGACAAGAAAUCAUCCAUGUGGAAUAAAGAACCCCUUCUCAAGGUUUGAGCUUUGCUGGCUAAAGGUGGAGAUGGUGGUGGGGGUUUCAAAGGCUAUUUGAGAUAUACUCAACAUUUAUGGGCCUAUUUGUUUCCUGUAAAAAAUACACUCACAUUUGGUGAACAGAGCUCUGAAACAGAAGGAACAGAACCUGGAAUCCUUCUGGUGACACCUGGAGCUACAAGAACACCUGUGAUGUAGUUCUAACGAUCCUCUGGACUCCAAUUUCAAUGCCUUCUCCCCUUCCCCAGGUAAGUUACUCUGUGGUCUUCAGACCUCAAUGAAGAGAUUCUCUGUUUUUUAAGGUUGACUUUUCUAAUGGCAAGAAUGACAUAUCAUCAGAUAUGGCGGUUGAACCUGCACAUGUCAUAUCUGUCUGAGUGGAGGAGGAGGAGGGGAUGAGCCCCUGGAGGAAAGGAACAGGAGGUUCCAUCUGACACAUGUUUACUGGGGACCCAGAAGAAAGCCACUGACCCCAGUGGCACAGGCAGAAAAACACGGUGUUGCGUCCAGCCUUCAGCUCAUAAGAAAUUAUGUUUCAGAGUCACUGGGAACAGCUGGGGGAAGAGGAGGACAAAAAGUAUAAGGCUAACAAGAAUAAGAUAUUUCAUCAGUGGUACCUGAUAGUAGUCAAGGCUUCAUGGACAACCAGUGGAAACUUGAAAAAAUUUGAUUUGGCUCUACUUUAGAUUUGGCAUUAGGAUUCAUGCAAAAUUUUUAAAUAAGCAAGAUUAUUUUUUAGUGUUUAGGCAUGUCCCCAGAUAGUAUACAGUGAGUAACUCUUUCUGAAUGAAUAGAAAAGUAAAUGAGAUGCUGUUCCACUCUUUCCAUAUAAUUGGAUUUUUUUCCCCACUUUUCCUUAUUUGAGAAGCUUUGGUAGCAUCUGAGUGCUUAGGAUAUUUUGAUCUCCUAAGAUGAGGUUCACUUGUAUGGUCGUCUGUAGACUUUCUCUUGAAACUGAUGAUACAUGAAUUAAAGUUGAAUUGAGUUCAAGUGGACAGUGGUUGUGUUGAGAUCAAGGAAAUAAACAAGAGAAAAAAGCUGCAAUUUCAGUGCAAAAACAAGUAUUUUAGAGCAAUGUUAAAUAAAAAUAUUGCCUGGGAUAGCAAAGUUCAGUUGUGCUUACACUGCUAAGAUUUCUUUGGCCCUUCUUCCACCUACUCUUCCCCCAGAAGCAGUUAAUAGAUGUUGGCAUUGAAUCUUUUGAAGCAGUGGGAAUUCAUACUUUAAAAUGUCCAAUUAGCACCAAAAAUGAGUGAUGGGAUGGGUCACUGAAGAUUUUUAAAGGCUGAGAAGCACCAUCAUUUGAGGGCAUCUAAAACAGUGCCCCGAGUCAGCCUCUGAGGAGCAUUCCUUCAACUUUUGCUUUCUCUCUUUGUACAGAGGCUAGGACAGUACAGACAGACCCCCAAAGGAGAGUCCUCACCAUUUUCUUCAGCAUACCAAGUGUUAGAGUGAACGAUAAAUAACCUUUCUGUAACAAGCAGCCCUUUUUUUCCCUGCUGGAACAAACUGUUCAACUCUAUUUGAAUAAAAAGCCCACACAUAUAUCAAAUUAAACAAAAUAGCAUUGUUCCAAAUACAGAUCAGGCAGUCUUCCCAGACUCGUGUCAGUAAAAUUUCAUAGCACUCCACACCAUUGUAUAGUAGCUCUCUUUCUCCCCUUCUUUAUGUGUGAGUGCAGAAUCACUCUUCUUAGACAAAGGAAUGCAGACACUGGCCGUAUCCCCCAUGCAGUUGAAGAAAAUAAAGAUCCAAUGAAGAUGGACUUUCUUUGAUGACAGGAAAAAAAGAAUGUACCACGGAAAAUAUAGGUGGAGACAGUACUACACAUCUGUAUUAGGGAUAACUGAUCAACAAGGAGUUAUUUUGCCUACUGCCAGCACAAAUAUUUUCCCAUUUGAUGAAGCAUAUCUCUGGAUUGGAGUUCAUGAACCAGGGAGCUAAUUGUGUGGCAUUUUGUGCUGAGAAGGGAUGGAGUGUGAGAGACUGCUUUGCACUAACUCAAAAAGGCCAGUUCAAUUUUCAGGAUUUUGCAAGCUUUUUAUGACACACAGUCAUGAAAAACUGAUAGAAAAGUAUGAAAACUUAAAAAUCAAUACAUUAUAUCAAGAGGAAAGAUAAUACCCCAAAGGUAUAGCUGCUUAUUGUACUACAUUUUACUAUGCUUUGUGCUCUUGAGGUUAUAUAUAUGUGAUAUCUGAUGGAAACAGUAUGGAAUGGUGUGAUGCUUUGUAUUUGUUCCCAAGAUGCACUGGUAGCUUGCAAUUGACUCACAUUACAAGUCUGAGUGACUGCUUUUUUGUUUUUGUUUUCCAAAGAGCUCACUGUUAAUCAGCACGCCAUUGAGUAGAAAUUCUUUGAGAACAGUCCUAACUUGCCAUGUGAUCUUAGCUGCUGAAGUGAAGAGGAAUUUCAGCUAGGACUGCCUUUACUCCCUUAAGGUUAAGAGGCAUGUCUGUGUAGGUGCGUGAGUGGGGAGUUUGAGGGAUUAAAGUCACUUCCUCCAAUCUGACAUCUCCAAUUGCUUUUUGAACACUAGACCUCAAUCUGGGAAGAUAUUUAUUAUUAAGAUAAGUUGGUUUAUUAAGAAAAGUGUAUGUUCAUUAUCACCAAGUGUAACAUUUUGCCAGUCUUAGCAAAUGUGAUAUCAGUUUAGCCUGAAUUGGCAGUAAUUGAACAUCAGAAUAGCGUGACAGUGAGCCUGUCAGCCAGCACUGUUUUACUCUCCUCACCCUUUCCAAGCUUCCUGUUCAAGUUAAACUGAGGAGGUGAACCGGGAAAACGUGAUCAAGGUUGGAAGAUAGAGAGGCAGGGUUCAGAAGUGGUCAUGAAUUAGGAAUCUUUCCAUACUGGGACUUUUAUGUCACAUAUACCUCUCGAGGAAAAAGGCUAAAGGUGACAUAAUUCCUUAUGGUAUUUGUAGCAAAUUUGAACUCAUUAGGGGUUCUAUAAUUAUUUUACUUUUAAUUCAACCUCUGUAGCACAUUAAGCCAAGUUAUAAUAGUUUAUAAUUUACUUAAACAAUUAUAAUAAAAUAUUCCACAUGAUGUCCAGGGUUAUACAUACAGAGUAUUAUACAAUAUACACAUACACACCUAUUUUUGUGCAUGUAUACUCAAUAUACAUACAUAUAUACUAUAUAUACAUAUAUAAAUCAUAUAUAUACAAAAUAUAGAACACAAUAUUUUAUUUUAUUCAAAUAAAAUACAUGAUAUAUAUAUAUAUUUAAAUACAUAUUCAAAUAAAAAUGUGUUUUAACCUGGAAUAUCUAGCUAGAACCUCCUGAAUAAUAUGUAGGGCCAAGGCAGCAUUUUCUUUAAACAUAUUUUGUAAACCAAGCAAUUAUAUAUAUAAACAAAUAAGCAUUUCUAACAGUUACCAUACUACUGUUUCAUGAUUGUAUGCUUUAAGAGGCAAGUAGCUAGUAUAAUGUGUCUCAACCAAAUGCCCUCCUUUAACAUUCAAGUAAAUUCCACUAAGAAUGUCACAUGAUCUUGCUGUUUGGUUCUAUGCACAGAGUAAUCUCUCUCAAUGUUUAAACUGCACAACUGUCAGAUACAGUAUACCUUGAGGAUCAAAUCCCUUAUGUCACAAUAUUAUUUCUGGCCACACCAUUGAAUUUCCACUGCCUGAGGUGUCUCUUGUGUUCCAAAUCAAGUCAAAUUAAGAAUGUAUACACUAGUAAAUUGAAGAAACAGAUAAACAGACACAGGG
ensembl:lncRNA